rnacentral:lncRNA from 1 species
GGAAAUGUAUAUGGUAGGUGAAUAAACUGAAAAUGGCUCUAUGAUAUUCUGAUCAACAUUUUCAGAUUCCAUCAGCGAUAGAAGAUGCAAGUAUGUCUAAAUGGUAAAUUGGUUUUCAAAAAUCUGAAAAAGGUUAACUUAAAAGAUGUUUCUACAAGUUCGAAAACAAAACAAAAUAAUUCUCUGAGUCCCAGAGCAGACAGGACUACUUGCAUUAUUUGGUAGCACCCAUGUGAAGUGACAAAGCCCUACAAUA